rnacentral:rRNA from 1 species
UACGGCCAUAUCACGUUGAAACACCGGUUCCCGUACGAUCACCGAAGUUAGCAACGUCGAGCCUGAUCUAUAUCUCGAUGAGUGACCGCUUGGGAAUACCAUGUUCUGUAA